AACCCUGCCCGGGCGCAUGGUGUUCCCCGGCGGUCAGGCGCCGCCGGAGAAUGAAACGGGAAUGGGGAAGGAACCUGCGUUCCGGGCCCCAACCGCCCCCGCGACUGUGAGCGGCGAGUGUCUUUCCAUCGUGCCACUGGGAGCCGAACGGGCAUCCGGGAAGGCGGAAAGGCGUGACGACCCGCGAGUCAGGAGACCGGCCAUUGCGCAUGUGUCCAG
rnacentral:ncRNA from 2 species